UACGUAGGGGGCAAGCGUUGUCCGGAUUUAUUGGGCGUAAAGAGCGUGUAGGCGGCCUGAAAGGUCAGCUGUGAAAACUCGGAGGCUCAACCUCGAGACGUCGGUUGAAACCAUCUGGCUAGAGUCCGGAAGAGGAGAGUGGAAUUCCCGGUGUGAGCGGUGAAAUGCGCAGAUAUCGGGAAGAACACCCGUGGCGAAGGCGGCUCUCGUGGGACGGUACUGACGCUGAGACGCGAAAGCGUGGGGAGCGAACAGGA
rnacentral:rRNA from 1 species